AAAACACCAUCUCUUGAUCUUGAGGAGCUGCAGUCAGAUUGAGAAGAAGCAUGGACAGUGGGGGAAAUAACCGAGAUCAUGAUUGUGAAAGAGCCAACCACGCCAACUGAUCCUCCACACCUGGCCUGGUUUGGGCAAAGGCAGCACACAUGGGCAUCUCCUCUCACCAGCUGUACCUUCUCGCUGCUUCCCCUGUAAGCCUUUUCCUGAAGUUUAUUGGUGAUCCCAAGCCUCCAGCCUGGAAGGGCUACCUCCUCGCUGUGCUGAUGUUCCUCUCGGCCUGACUGCAAACGCUGUUUGAGCAGCAGAACGUGUACCAGCUCAAGGUGCUGCAGAUGAGGCUGCGGUCGGCCAUCACUGGCCUGGUGUACAGAAAGCUCCUGGACCCCUCUGCCCUCACUGCCAUCGCUGUCUUCCUGAGCCUCCUGCCUCUGAAUUUCUUCACCAAGAAGAGGAAUCACCGUCAGCACUGCUGGAGAGGAAGAAGGAAGAUGGACAGUGGGUGGCCGCCCUGGGUGCCGAGCUCUUCAUGCCAGGGCUGGCGGGGCUGCAUGCCCUUGGCCUGCUGCAGCAGUGAGCCCAGCUCUGGACCAACUCCCUGAGGAUGCAGUACAGCCUCCUGGGUAAGGCACUGCGUGCCUGGUGGCGGGGCAGGUGGAGGUGGCAGGGUCUGCCCUGUUUCCUGCAGCUGUGGCUCUGCAAGGUUCAGCUCUGGCACGAGGAGGACUCGGGCCACCUGCACUCACAGCUGGAGGUGAACUACAGGAAGCACUGGGAUGAGAGCAGCAACAACAGGCAUCUCCGUGUCAGCCAGACCUUCAAGAAUGACUCGGAGCCCACCCUGAGCAAUCACUUGGUGGAGGUCUUCGUGGACAUUCACAAUGACAGCUCAGGCUCUGAGCAUUCUGGACACAACCUGAUGGGACCCACAUCUCUCAGUUACUCUGUGAGCUGCUGUUACCAUGACGAGCACCUGGAGCUCUCCGGCCAGAGCUGGCACAACAGUGAGGUUUUGUUGUGGGCAGGGUUCCCAGGCGAGGCCUCCCUGCGCACAGAACUGCAGAUACAUGGUAAGGCACCCAGCGCAGAGCCCCAGGGCUGGUGCUGGCUUCCUCCAUGCCUGGGCCAGCCUAGCAGCCCUGGACCCAGGUGGCACCCCAUCAAGCCCAGUGUGGCCCUGGGCUCUGGGACAACUGGGACAGCCUUGUCCAUCGAUGGCCUCACUCCCAAGGCAGGCGGAUUCAUUUCCUAGGACUUCCACAACCAAGUUCCACACACUGGAUGGCUUAAAACACAGACAUCGUAGCCAGAUGUGGUGGCAUGUAUAUGUGGUCCCAGGUACUCAGGAGGCUGAAGCAGGAAAAUCACUUGAGCCAGAAGGUCGAGGCUGCAGUGAGCUAUGAUUGCAACACUGUGCUCCAGCCUGGAUGACAGAAUGAGACCCUGUCUCAAAAUAAAAACAACAUAAUCCACAGUGGACUGAGGGCCCAUCUGGCUUGAAUAUGAC
rnacentral:lncRNA from 1 species